rnacentral:lncRNA from 1 species
UCUCAUAGCUUUGAAUCUUCCUAAUUUCUCUGGGCGUUAUAACCCCUUGUCUUUUUUCCAUACUCUAAAGAUUGUAUCCCUGGCCCCCCAAAUAUUCCUGAUGACGACUUUGGGUAAACACGAAAACAAAUCAUUUUAUUGUUCUAUAUAGAGUAGCUGGUAUUUCUGGAUAAAUGCAUAAACAAAGAGGAAUUACAAACUGACCUUGAUCUGCCAGAUUAUCAGUGAGGACUGACCUGCUUUUGUUAGUGCCAAGCUGUAGAGUAGAGGUUCUCUGAAUAGACCCUGAAGUACAGAUUCAGGGUACAUUCUUCUCAGUUUAACUGGGGGAGAUUCCAUUUUUUUCUUUUUGUGUUUUGAGAGACGGUGGGAGGUAGGAUGGGAAUAUUAACUGCUUUAUGAAGAGAAUUUAAAUAUAGUUACUGAGAGAUGAACACCAAGGGAGAAAAGAGAUUCUACAAUUUGUAGUGACUCUAUUUCCACGUAAAGUGUUUUAAGACUGCUUUUCCUAAAAUUUCCCUGUGAAGUGCAGUUUUUCUUAAAAGUUAUAUAGUUUUUCUUCAGAUUUAAAAAAUCAAUUUCCCUGAUGUCAUUUGGAUUUUGGACUGUUUCAUGACUAUCAUUUGAAAGGAUAUUAUUAAAUAGGCUACAUUAAAAAAUCAAGUUUUACUUGAAAUCAAAUCACUGUAUCAUCCUCAUGUGAAAAUAUACAUUCAGUUAACAAAUAUCCAAAGUAGAUAAAACUAGCUCAAUUUAUUGAGGGUUAUUGCCACUUUACGGAGUUGAUGUUACAUUCUUCCAUAGAUUCUAUUAGUAUCUACAAUCUUGCUUUAUGUUAAGAUGUGAAAUAUCAGUAUGAUGUAACAGCAGUGCAAGAAUAUCCUCAUCUUCAACACAGCCUCAGUUCAGCCUUUGCUGAUCCACUUUCUAGAUCCUAGUGAAAAAGGGGAAGAUAAUUUGGGGAUUAUUUUUUUGACAAUUUUUUUUUUUUUUGGCUUUUUUUGCUAUUUCUUGGGCCGCUCCUGCGGCAUAUGGAGGUUCCCAGGCUAGGGAUCUAAUCGGAGCUGCAGCCACCGGCCUACACCAGAGCCACAGCAACGUGGGAUCCGAGCCGCGUCUGCAACCUACACCACAGCUCACGGCAACGCCGGAUCGUUAACCCACUGUGCAAGGGCAGGGACCGAACCCGCAACUUCAUGGUUCCUAGUCGGAUUCGUUAACCACUGCGCCACGACGGGAACUCCACAAAUUUUAAUUUUUAUGUGAACUUCAUAAUAUCUGAAACACUGGAAAUGUGUGGAAAAAUCACACCUUUAUAUUUCUCAACAUUUUUGUGAUAACGGCCCACUCAGAGAUUGGAUUUUCAGUUUGAUAUAAGAAGGAAGAUAGGAACUUUAUCUGUUACUUUAAAUGCUAAAGAAUUUCAAACUAAAGUUCUUGUCUAGAGUCACCAAAUUAAGAACAACGCCCAUUAAUAUUCAUUGAAAGAAUAUUGUACUAAGUGCAUUGUCAUUAUAGAAAGAUUUGAUGCUCACUAGCAUGAAAAAUAAAUUUUGUGUUCAAAAACAUUUACGAAUAUAUUUUUAAAAAUUAAGAGACUUUUAUAGAGGAUAAUUUUAUGUCCACAGGCUUGCUUUUUAAAUUUUAUUUAUUUUUUAUAACUUAGAAAUGCUUUGGAUCUGUUAGACUAAUAGCGUUGUGAACUCCAUUCAAUUCUCUAUGUCCUUUCACAUCCAUGUAGUAGCUAAGAUCAAGUCGACAUAGCUAAGAUUGGUACAAAGAUAAGUUCAUAGUUUUUUAAAGGUCUGUUAGAGGUCAUUAAAGUCAGAUUUACUUUAAAUUUCUGUUUUGCUUUACCUAAUUUUGUUGAUUGUGCAGAAACAGACAAUCAACAAAGCAGAAGAGAUUAUCUUUGAAGGAUGCGACAAUAUAAAUGUAAAUAUUGUGAUACAACAGCUAUAGUUCACAGAUGGGUGUGAACAGGUUGAGACUGAUAAUGUUUUUACUAUUUAAUAAUGGCUUUACUAUAGGAUAGUAGUGAACAUGACCAUACAUUUGCAGUAUUUCCUCCUAAGACCCUCACAUCAUCUUGGUGUACCAAGAUGGAGAAUGGGAGUGACUUGGUGAUAGAGAAAGAGGCAGUGGUAGAUAACCAUGAUGCUUGUGUGGAAUACAAGCAGCAGCUCUGCCAAAAUACUGUUAGUAUGAGAGUGGUAGGGACAUUGGCCUGGUGAGUGUCUUUUAUUUUGUAGUGACAGUUCUCUGUUCUAUAGAGGGAAGAGAUACCAUUGGACUAAUUUAGAUUUUGAUUUUUUGAAGUGUCCUGAAGCAGCAAGACAAAUGGUAGGAAUCAAGGGACCAAAGCUUUCAUCAAAGCCAUGCCCCUGUUUUAGAGAUGAGCAAGUUACUUCUCUUGCAGCUUAGUAUUUUCAUCUGUGGAUUGAGAAAUUGGAACCACAUCCAUUCUUUGAUAAUACGCUGUAGAAGGUUCUUAUGGAUGAUGGCAAACUGCAUAAAUGGCAUUUUUCUUCUCACUUUCCACCUAAAGAUGUUUUAUAACGCAGUCAGUAUAACAUUAACUGCGUACUCUUAAAACACCUUUUACUAAAAUUUAAUUUUUUAUAUCGACUCAUGAAUUAUUCAGUAGUUUAUACGUGUUGAGAUUUUUAUUCUGAUAUAUGUAUCUAUAUAAAUUUCAGUUGUAUUG